rfam:Clostridium saccharolyticum WM1, complete genome.
GGGGGUAUAGCUCAGCUGGGAGAGCGCUUGAAUGGCAUUCAAGAGGUCAUGGGUUCGAAUCCCACUAUCUCCA